rnacentral:rRNA from 2 species
UAUAGGGAGGUCUUGCCUGCCCAGUGACAAUGUUAAACGGCCGCGGUAUUUUGACCGUGCGAAGGUAGCGCAAUCACUUGUCUUUUAAAUGAAGACCUGUAUGAAUGGUGAAACGAGGGCUUAACUGUCUCCCUUUUCUAGUCAAUGAAAUUGAUCUGCCCGUGCAGAAGCGGACAUAAAAAUACAAGACGAGAAGACCCUUUGGAGCUUAAGAUAUAAAGAUCAUCUAUGUCAAUGGGCCCCAACACGGCAACAAACUAAAUAGCAACUGAUCUUAAUCUUCGGUUGGGGCGACCACGGGAGAAAAUAAAGCUCCCACGCGGAAUGGGGUAAACCCUAAAACCAAGAAAAACAUUUCUAAGCAACAGAACUUCUGACCAUUAAGAUCCGGCUACACGCCGACCAACGGACCAAGUUACCCUAGGGAUAACAGCGCAAUCCCCUUUCAGAGUCCAUAUCGACAAGGGGGUUUACGACCUCGAUGUUGGAUCAGGACAUCCUAAUGGUGCAGCCGCUAUUAAGGGUUCGUUUGUUCAACGAUUAAAGUCCUACGUGAUCUGAGUUCAGACCGGA